GGGGGGGGGGGGGGGGGGGGGGGGGGGGGGGGGGGGGGGGGGGGGGGGGGGGGGGCCAACCCAACCCAACCCAACCCAACCCA
rnacentral:miRNA from 12 species